ensembl:misc_RNA Metazoa_SRP Metazoan signal recognition particle RNA
GCCGGGUGCGGUGGCGCGCGCCUGUAAUCCAAGCUACCGGGAGGCUGAGGCUGGCGGAUCGUUUGAGCUCAGGAGCUCUGAGCUGCAGCGGACUAUGCCGAUCGGGUGUCCGCACUAAGUUCGGUAUCGAUAUGGUGCUCCUGGGGGAGCUCGGGACCACCAGGUCGCCUAAGGAGGGGUGCACCGGCCCAGGUCGGAAACGGAGCAGGUCAAAGCCCCCGUGCCGCUCAGUAGUGGGAUCGCGCCUGUGAAUAGACGCUGUAGUGCAGCCUGAGUAAUACAGCGGGACCCAGUCUUUU